AGAUGGGGCAUCCACAACCUCUCUGGGCAUCUUGUUCCACUGCAUCACCACCCUCUGAGUGAAAAACUUCUUCCUAAUAUCUAACCUAAACCUCCCCUGUCUUAGUUUAAAACCGUUCCCCCUUGUCCUAUCACUGUCUACCCUUGUAAACAGUCGUACCCCUUCCUGUUUUUACGCUUCCUUCAAGUAUUGGAAGGCCACAAUGAGGUCUCCCUGGGGCUUUCUUUUCCUGAAGCUUAACAAGCCCAGUUCCCUCAACCUUUCUUCAUAGGAGAGGUGCUCCAGCCCUCUGAUCAUUUUGAUUGCCCUCCUCUGGACCCAUUCCAAGAGCUCAGUGUCUUUCUUGUGCUGGGGGACGCAGGCCUGGACACAGUACUCCAGAUGGGGCCUCACAGGAGCUGAGUAGAGGGGGACAAUCACCUCCCUCUCCCUGCUGGCCACUCCUCUUUUAAUGCAACCCAGAACGUAGUUGGCCUUCCAGGGUGCUGAUUGUAAAAAGUGGAUGAAAGUUCAACUUGCACACGAAGCAAUGAAGAUUCAGGAUACCUGUGCCAGCCUACAACAGAGAUGUAGAAUUAUCCUUUCCUUGUUCACUGUAUUUAAAAGACAAAUGAGAACAAGAGUGAGGAACCAGGACUCUUUAGUCUGAUUUUGAGAAUAAUGCUGAAGUAUUCUGCUGAAGUGUGAAUCUUGGUCCCAAGGAUGCUCAGCUAUGUGAUUUUGUAAUUGUCCAUCAGCAUAAGACAGUGAUCUACCAGGUGAGCCAAUAUUUCAGAGCUGAAUUCGAAGAUCUCUGUUGUACUUGCAUAUUGUACUUAGACAUCUGAAGGGCAACUGAGCACCUACGUUGGUGUGUUGCUAAUAUAGAAACAAUGGCUACCAUCACCAUGUCCAACUCCUCAGAUUGGUACUGGGAGGCAGGCUUCUUCCCUGGAAUCCAAGAGGUUUGUCUCCAGACAAAUAUCAAUCAGUAGAGAUUUUCACUGGUAGCUCAUGCAUACCUUUGGGACUUAUUGGUUUAUAGCCAAGGAUCAAACAGAAGGAAAAGCACUGGGAAAACCCAUUCAAUUAAUGUUUUUAGAUGUUUAAUGGAUGCAAAACCUCAAAAGUUACAGAUAUUUAGACACUGCAGAUUCUAAAUCCAUUCUGUCCCUGAAAGCCUUUCAGAAAUUAAUGAAAUAAAAAGGACCUUGAGGUGCA
rnacentral:lncRNA from 1 species